rnacentral:rRNA from 1 species
GGCCCACCAAGGCGACGAUCCGUAGCUGGUCUGAGAGGAUGAUCAGCCACACUGGAACUGAGACACGGUCCAGACUCCUACGGGAGGCAGCAGUGGGGAAUAUUGGACAAUGGGCGCAAGCCUGAUCCAGCCAUGCCGCGUGGGUGAAGAAGGCCUUCGGGUUGUAAAGCCCUUUUGUUGGGAAAGAAAAGCAGUCGGUUAAUACCCGAUUGUUCUGACGGUACCCAAAGAAUAAGCACCGGCUAACUUCGUGCCAGCAGCCUCGGUAAUACGAA